GAGUUUGAUCCUGGCUCAGGAUGAACGCUAGCGGCAGGCUUAAUACAUGCAAGUCGUGGGGCAGCACAGGUAGCAAUACUGGGUGGCGACCGGCAAACGGGUGCGGAACACGUACGCAACCUUCCCAAAACUGGUGAAUAGCCCUCCGAAAGGAGGAUUAAUACACCGUAACAUAAUGAAAUGGCAUCAUUUUAUUAUUAUAGCUCCGGCGGUUUUGGAUGGGCGUGCGCCUGAUUAGGUAGUUGGCGGGGUAACGGCCCACCAAGCCUACGAUCAGUAACUGGUGUGAGAGCACGACCAGUCACACGGGCACUGAGACACGGGCCCGACUCCUACGGGAGGCAGCAGUAAGGAAUAUUGGUCAAUGGACGCAAGUCUGAACCAGCCAUGCCGCGUGAAGGAUGAAGGUCCUCUGGAUUGUAAACCUCUUUUAUAGGGGACGAAAAAAGGGAAUUCUUUCUCACUUGACGGUACCCUAGGAAUAAGCACCGGCUAACUCCGUG
rnacentral:rRNA from 1 species